UCUAAGUCCACGUGGCGUUGGAGCUCACUGAAUGUCUGUGACUGUGCAGAGCUUGUCGCUUGUUCUCAAAUGCAUCUGCAGGAAGAGAACAGAUCCACUUGUGCAAAAGUUGAAUAAGGACAGAAAGAGUCCGGUUGUGGACUGGAAAAUCUAAAUGAAAGAGGAGACCCAGUAGUGAGACUGUAAGGACGACGCAGCAUAACGGGCCUGAGAUCAUCUCUGCAGCUCGAGCAGCCCAGAACAACUCUGGCCCUCAAUGGAUCCUUCCUGACUUCCUCCCGGGUUGCAGAAGGGAGAAGUUUGCGAUUGGUUGCGGCCUCUCGGAUGUCGCCAAAUCCGGCGCACCUCACCUUCACCCGUCACACCACAAGGUGUCGCGUGACACUGAGCCAGCUGCUGUCUAAUCCGACGUUCUAAGCAAACUUCAG
ensembl:lncRNA